rnacentral:rRNA from 1 species
AGUGAAUAGAUACCCGGGUAGUCCUAGCCGUAAACGAUACUCGCUAGGUGUCGGCCACGGUGCGACCGUUGUCGGUGCCGUAGGGAAAGCCGUGAAGCGAGCCACCUGGGAAGUACGGCCGCGAGGCUGAAACUUAAAGGAAUCGGCGGGGGAGCACCACAACGGGUGGAGCUUGCGGUUUAAUUGGAUUCAACGCCGGAAAUCUUACCGGGACCGACAGCAACAUGAAGGCCAGGCUGAAGACUUUGCCGGAUUAGCUGAGAGGUGGUGCAUGGCCGUCGUCAGUUCGUACUGUGAAAGCAUCCUGUUAAGUCAGGCAACGAGCGAGACCCACGCCCACAGUUGCCAGCGUACUCUCCGGAGUGACGGGUACACUGUGGGGACCGCCGCUGCUAAAGCGGAGGAAGGAAUGGGCAACGGUAGGUCAGUAUGCCCCGAAUAUCCCGGGCUACACGCGAGCUACAAUGGUUGGUACAAUGGGUGUCUACCCCGAAAGGGGAUGGAAACUCUCCUAAAGCCAAUCUUAGUUCGGAUUGAGGGCUGCAACUCGCCCUC